rnacentral:rRNA from 1 species
ACUCCUACGGGAGGCAGCAGUAGGGAAUCUUCCACAAUGGGCGCAAGCCUGAUGGAGCAACACCGCGUGAGUGAAGAAGGGUUUCGGCUCGUAAAGCUCUGUUGUUAAAGAAGAACACGUAUGAGAGUAACUGUUCAUACGUUGACGGUAUUUAACCAGAAAGUCACGGCUAACUACGUGCCAGCAGCCGCGGUAAUACGUAGGUGGCAAGCGUUAUCCGGAUUUAUUGGGCGUAAAGAGAGUGCAGGCGGUUUUCUAAGUCUGAUGUGAAAGCCUUCGGCUUAACCGGAGAAGUGCAUCGGAAACUGGAUAACUUGAGUGCAGAAGAGGGUAGUGGAACUCCAUGUGUAGCGGUGGAAUGCGUAGAUAUAUGGAAGAACACCAGUGGCGAAGGCGGCUACCUGGUCUGCAACUGACGCUGAGAUCGAAAGCAUGGGUAGCGAACAGGAUUAGAUACCCUGGUAGGAUAGCG